rnacentral:lncRNA from 1 species
AAAGGAAACGAAGAAGACGAAAGUGAGUGCAAAGCAAGUAGAAUCACAGGAAUGGUCUUUUCAGUAGGUUUUGAGGAUUUCUGAAGUCCGAGACAUAAAGGGAAUGUGCAGGAAGGAAAGGAGAUGGUCAUAAACGAAGUAAAGGAAAUUGAAAUAAGAGGGCUGUGUUUUUUAGUAAUGGCAAAUUAGGGUAGUUGAGACAGGUGGAAGACAAAAUCUUUUUUUUUUUCCUUUUUUUGGAGACGGAGUCUCAUUUUGUCAUCCAAGCUGGAGUGCAGAGGCGUGAUCUAGGCUCACUGCAACCUCUCGGAUUCAAGGGAUUUUCCUGUCUCAGCCUCUCAGAAGAGAACAUCUUCAUAGGAGAGGAGCUCUAGGAACUGAGAAUGCAGGAAAUUGGAAGAAAUAUACAUUAAUAGCCAAGAAUUUAGACAGGACUGGGGAGCCAGGAACAAACAUUUGAGAUGUUGGGCUUUUAAUGGAGUUGCCACGGAUGACAGCAUCAUGAGAAAUGAGGUUUAAAAAUGGAGGAUUGUUCGAGGAGGGAGGAGGGCUGAUCUGAAAGCCACAAGGAGGACAAAUGGAACACCUACCCCCACUACAGGCUGGAAGGAAACAUGGAUGAACAUGGCCAGGGAGAGAGGAAAAGGAUGAAAGAACAAGGUGCCUACCAUGGAGGAUGCAAAAGAAAUUUUUCCCCGAGAACUGUAGUCCCAGCUAUCUCCUCUGCAGAACUCUGUGCUAAUGAUAGAAUUUGCAUACUAAUGAUAAUUGCAACCAAGAAAGCUGUAUUCUCUUUCUACUCGAGGUAAUUGAAUAAAGAAGUGCUGUGGGGCAAUUACUGCAGUUAGUUAUAGAAAAUUCUCUGAAAAAUAAGACCAAAACAUAUAUACUCAAAUUCAGUAUGAUUGCAUUUAUCAACAUUAUUUGCUUCUUUUAAAUCAUAAUAAUAAUAGACAGAAUUAUUGCUCUGGGUUCUUUGACUGUGUUAACCCAGUCAUCUCAAUGGCUCUAUUAUUUAGGCUUAUAUUUUUCCAUUUUAUGGAUAAGAAAAAAAAGAAGUUUAACAAUGUGCCCAAUAACACAGGUAUGAACUUUAAAAAGGCUAUUAAGAGAUCAUUUAUAUCAUAGUUCUAUUCUCUUAUUUUUAUUCUAUCUUUUGAUUAUUAUAAAAUUAAUUAUAAAUAGUGCCAGACAUAUUUUGCUGUUAUAAUUUUACUACAUAAUGGAACACUUUUACUCUACUAUUUCAGUGCCCUUUUACUUGAUUACGGCAAAAUUCUUUGCUAAUGACACCUUAACAUGCAUGACUGUGUUGUUGGGUUAUUUUUUCCAUGGGAGUUUCACUAAUUCCAUUUAUUUGCCAGUCGGUGUACUUCAACAUUUUUAAUUUAUAUUAGCAUUAGAAACCCAUUGAAAACACAAGUCAAUACUCAAUUCAAAAUAAGGUGACUUUACUUUCUUUAGGUAUAAGAAAUCCUAAACUCUGAACCACAAUAAAAAACUGCAGGAUUAGAAACCUAGAUUCAGGACAAGACAACCAAAAUCAUAAAGACUCCUUUACAACUUCAUAGUUUGUGCAAUCUUAGCAAAUAAUAUUAUUUUCAUGAUCAGAAAGUGUAUUUAAACUUUAACGUUUUUAUUUUAUUUUGUCUAAUUUUUAUUGGCCUUACAGACAAGAUUAUUUUAUUCUUUUCUAAUUGCUUUAAUGUCUUUCUUGUUCGAUAUUUUCUGUUUUUCUGUUCAGUUAUCAUGACUGCCUAUUUAGAAACAGACUUUCGAAGGUGUGAGUCUUAAAGUCAGAGCAUAGCCAGUCCUCAUAUUUAUUGGUAAUUGACUUUUUUUUUUUUUUUUGAUAGGGUCUCACCUGUUGCCCAGGCUACAGUGCAAUAGUGAGAUCCCAGCUCACUUCAGUCCCAAACUCCUGGGCUCAAGGGAUCUUUCUGCCUCAGCCUCCUGAGUAGGUGGGACUGUAGGCAUGUUCCAUCAUGCCCCACUAAUUUUCCUUUUUUAUUUUUUUAGAUAGAGAGUCUCACUAUGCUGGCCAGACUCGUCUCAAACUUCUGGGCUCAAGCAAUCCUCCCACCUGCCUCAAUCUCCCAAAAUGCUGGAAUUACAGGCAUAAGCCAUCACACCCAGCCAGUAAUUGACUCUGAAAGUAACACACAAAGAUUGGAAAGUGAUCUAAGUUCUGAAUUCAAAUAUCAACACAUGCAUUUUGCUAUUUCUUUGUUCUUUAAUUGCAGCAAGAACAAAUAACAUGAGAUCUAUCUUCUUAUCAAAUUUGUAAGUAUAUAGUAGAGUAAUGUUACCUACAGGCACAAUGUUGUACAGCAUUUGUUCUACAUAAUGUUCUACAGGUAUCUGUAGAACUUAUUCUUCUUACCUAACUGAAACUAUGCCUGUUAAAUGGCAAAUCCCAAUUUUCCUCUCACCCAGCCUCCAGCAACCACUAUCCUACUUUCUGUUUCUGCUAGUUUUACUAUAUUGAACUCCAUAUAUAAGUGGAAUCACAUAGUAUUUGUCCUUCUGCAACUAGCUUAUUUUACUUAGCAUAAUGUCCUCAAGGUUCAUUCACGCUUUCUUAUAUAGCAGGAUUUGUUUAUUAUGGUUGGAUAAUAUUCCAUUAUAUGUUUAUAAGACAUUGUCUUUACACAUUCAUCUCUCAAUGAAUAUUUUGGUCAUUUCCACAUUAUAGCUAUUGUGAAUAAUCAUACAAAGGAAUUGAACAGGGAGCCCAGAAGGAAACUCAUGCUUAUAUGGUCAACUGGUGUUUGGCAAGGGUCCAAGAAUACUCACUGGGAAAAAGAGAGUCUCUUUAAUUAAUGAUGUUGGGAAAACUGAAUAUCCAUAGCAAAAAAAUAAAAUUGAACACUCCUCUCACACAAUAUAUAAAAAUCAACUCCAAGUAAAAAAAACUUCAUGACAUUGUCUCAGCAAUUAUUUCAUGGGUAUGACACCAAAAGCACAAACAACAAAAGGAAAAAUAGACAA